GAUGAAGAACGUAGCGAAAUGCGAUACGUAAUGUGAAUUGCAAAUUCAGUGAAUCAUCGAGUCUUUGAACGCACAUUGCGCCCCCUGGUAUUCCGGGGGGCAUGCCUGUCCGAGCGUCAUUGCUGCCCUCAAGCACGGCUUGUGUGUUGGGCCCCGUCCUCCGAUCCCGGGGGACGGGCCCGAAAGGCAGCGGCGGCACCGCGACCGGUCCUCGAGCGUAUGGGGCUUUGUCACCCGCUCUGUAGGCCCGGCCGGCGCUUGCCGAUCAACCCAAAUUUUUAUCCAGGUUGACCUCGGAUCAGGUAGGGAUACCCGCUGAACUUAAGCAUAUCAAUAAGCGGAGGA
rnacentral:misc_RNA from 1 species